CCUCACCCAGGCAUUCAUCUGGACAGGAAACCAUGUGGAGCGAGAGUCGCUCAGGUCUUCCGGUUGACCUUGCCCAGACACAGUGCGAGUGCCUGGAGGGGGGCUGACAAAAGCAAGCUCACAUUUGUGAGCAUUACCGUUCCUGAAAAGCGUUUUUGGGAAAGUUAAUGUGCAUACGUUAUUCCAUUAAUACCUAACGGUUGUGCGUGUAAUUGAGGAACUGAAGGGCAGUUGCAAGAGCCUAUAAAAGAGCCGAAGGCAGGACGAAGGGGAUAUUCUGAACUCUGUAUGCAUUAAGUCUUUUUGCAGGAAAGCACUGACUUAACCUUUGGGGAAUCGCCUAGCCUUU
rnacentral:lncRNA from 1 species